CUUGACCUCGGAUCAGGUAGGAAUA
rnacentral:ncRNA from 5 species